rnacentral:lncRNA from 1 species
AAAUACAUGAAUCUUAUGAAUGUCAGAGUAGCUUAAUACCUUUUUUAGUAAACUAUACAAAACAAAACAUAAAUAAUAUUAAAAACGAUGUAGUUAAUCAUUUAAAUCAAUAUUGUUCACAAUUUAUAAAAUCUUUACUUAUAUCACAUAAUGGUGUUUUAAAUAUAAAAAUAAAACAGGACUACAUAAUUAAAAGGUUUCUUCUAUUUUAUGAAUUAAAUGUGUUAAACAAAAAAAUAGCAAAAUUAAAGAAAUAAAGAAAAUAAAAAAUGUAGAACAGGAAUGUACAAAAGAUGUGACAAAAGUAACACCACAAAAGCAAAUUAUUUUGUUAGAUUAUUGUGGUGUUAACAUGGGUAAACAUAUGCACUUAGGACAUUUAAAAUCUUUAUUUUUAGGAUAUUCGUUAAGUAAUUUUUUUCGUUAUAAUAAUUAUAUUGUAAAAAAUAGAAGUCAUAUCGGAGAUUGGAAUUUAAAUAUAGCUACAAUAAUCACUUUUUUUAUUUUAUUUCCUAUACAUGAAAAUACUAAUGUUUUAAAUAAGUUUUAUCCACAUAGUUAUAUAAAUAAAAACAAAAUAUAUAAAAAAAGGGAAGAACAUACUAAUACCAACGAUUCUGAAAAACAGGAUGUUGGUAAUUCAUCUAUAAAUACAUACACAAACCAAGUUACUUGUAACAUUAAUUCAGACGCUCUUAAAAAAGACAAUAAUCAACAAUAUGAAGAAAUUGUUAAUUUUUAUUUGGACCUGUUAAAAAAAAUAAAUGAAGAUAAUUUUAAUAAUAAGUACAGAAAUUUCCUUAUGAGUAAGUAUGAACAAAAUAUAAAUGUUGAUACUAUUGAUUAUGUAUAUAAAAUAUCAAAACAACUUUAUUCGUUGUCAGAUGUUUUUCAAAAAUGUUGCAAAAUUAGUUUAUCAUUGAUGUAUGAAAGAAGCCAACAAAUUAUGAAUAUUUGGAAUAGCAUAUGUAGUAAAACAAAAAAGGAAAAUGAAGAAAUAUUUAAAACAUUUGGGAUCAAAAAGUUAAUAGAAAAGGGUGAACAUUUUUACGUAAAAUAUGUUCCUACCAUUUUAAAAAAAAAUGAAAGUAGCAAAUAUCCUUUUUGAAUUUAAGGAUAAAUUAUUUGUUUUAUUAAAAGAAAAAAAAUAUAAUGUGUGAACAAAAUAAAAACAGCUGUAAAAAUAACA